UACUCGAUUCUACAGAGAACGCUAUUGAGCAAAGCUUGGCAGGCACUGGCCGUGCCAAUGUCCGAGCCUUGGAGAUAUACUCGAAAAGUUCUAAAACUACAUGCUUCACUUGGCUUCUGAUUUUUCUAAUGACAUGUGUCUUCAUCAUGGUUGUACUCCUAAUUCGCGUCACUUAGAAGUUUCUUCAAGAUAUCAUUUUGUGACGAUACGGAGAUUAAUGACAAAUAAUAUGCAAUAUUUUCUUAUUCGUGUUGUUUGAGGUUGUUUUGGGAUUCAUAUUUUAAUCGACGGACAACUAAUUCUAAAGUAAGUUUAACACUCAUAUUAUGAUUGUAUUUUUUUUUCUUUUUUCUUUUUUAAUAUAAUGUCUUUUACUUGAGAAGA